rnacentral:rRNA from 1 species
GAUGAACGCUGGCGGCGUGCCUAAUACAUGCAAGUCGAGCGAACAGACGAGGAGCUUGCUCCUCUGAUGUUAGCCGCUGACGGGUGAGUAACACGUGGAUAACCUACCUAUAAGACUGGGAUAACUUCGGGAAACCGGAUCUAAUACCGGAUAACAUGUUGAACCGCAUGGUUGAACAGUGAAAGACGGUCUUGCUGUCACCUAUAGAUGCAUCCGCGCCGCAUUAGCGAGUUGGUAAGGUAACGGCUUACCAAGGCAACGAUGCGUAGCCGACCUGCUAGGGUGAUAGGCGAAACAGGAAGUGAGACACGGUUAGGAGUCGUGGGGGAGGCAGCGAUAGGGAAUCGACGGAGAAGGGCGGAAGCGUGACGAAGAAACGCCGCGUGAGUGAAGAAGGUCUUCGGAGCGUAAAACUCUGUUAUUGGGGAAAAAGAAGUGUGUGAGUAAGGAUGAACGGAUGGGAGGUACAUAGGCAGAGAGCCACGGCUAGCUAGGGG